rnacentral:rRNA from 1 species
CAUUACAGAGUUCCUGCCCUCACGGGUAGAAACCCCACCCUUGUGUAUAUUAUAUUGUUGCUUUAGCAGGUCGCCCUCUGGGGCGUCGGCCUCGGCUGACUGUGCCUGCUAGAGGACCCUAAACUUUGAAAUACAGUGUCGUCUGAGUACUAUUUAAUAGUUAAAACUUUCAACAACGGAUCUCUUGGUUCUGGCAUCGAUGAAGAACGCAGCGAAAUGCGAUAAGUAAUGUGAAUUGCAGAAUUCAGUGAAUCAUCGAAUCUUUGAACGCACAUUGCGCCCCUUGGUAUUCCGGGGGGCAUGCCUGUUCGAGCGUCAUUUAGACCAACUCCCGCUCCGGCGGGGUCUUGGGCUGCGCCUUUGGGCGGGCCUUAAAACCAGUGGCGGUGCCCUAAGGCUCUACGCGUAGUAAUUCUUCUCGCGAUAGGGUCCUUGCGGUGUCUUGCCAGCAACCCCCAACUCUCUAGGGUUGACCUCGGAUC